AUGGAGGUAAAGAGAGUUUACUUGAAGACGGAGCAUGGGUAUACUUUCAACGUCAAAUUAUAUAAUGGAGACACAUACACCCAUUUUGAAUGCAAAACUUGGCAGGCACUAUGCAAGGCUUAUGCAUUUGAGCCUGAUAUGGUUAUCACCUUUGAUAUUCGUUCGGAAAAUGAUACUAAAGGUAAUAUAGACAUCUGGGUCGAUGUGCAAACGCCUCUAGUUCUACCAUUUGGUGAGUUUUUCUCAACCAUGCAUGCAUAUGUUUAUGUCUUUGAUACAGUUUAUUCAAAAAUAGUUGACAACUAA
rnacentral:rRNA from 1 species